UGCAGAAGUGAUGGAGGUCUGUUUACAGUCUAGGAGGGGGAGGAAUUGUACACACCGUUUUAAUUCGAAACUACGAAGUGACGGCGAGGUCACUAUGUGGCUUUAAACAACGGGCAGAAUUUCAACAGUGUACGAAGAUAGGGAAGGAAGAGUAUUCCUAAGGAGAAAGAGCCAGGGGCAAUCCUUAGAAGGCAACAGGGAGCCCAUGACGAUUUCUGAUCACAGCUGUGCUUGAAAAGGACUACAGGGUUGGCAGGUGAGUGACGCUAGAGGAAAAGUACU